rnacentral:rRNA from 1 species
AGAGUUUGAUCCUGGCUCAGAUUGAACGCUGGCGGAAUGCUUUACACAUGCAAGUCGAACGGCAGCACGGGGCAACCUGGUGGCGAGUGGCGAACGGGUGUGUAAUACAUCGGAACGUGCCCAAUCGUGGGGGAUAACGUAGCGAAAGUUACGCUAAUACCGCAUACGAUCUACGGAUGAAAGCGGGGGAUCGCAAGACCUCGCGCGAGUGGAGCGGCCGAUGUCAGAUUAGGUAGUUGGUGGGGUAAAGGCUCACCAAGCCAACGAUCUGUAGCUGGUCUGAGAGGACGACCAGCCACACUGGAACUGAGACACGGUCCAGACUCCUACGGGAGGCAGCAGUGGGGAAUUUUGGACAAUGGGCGCAAGCCUGAUCCAGCCAUUCCGCGUGCAGGAUGAAGGCCUUCGGGUUGUAAACUGCUUUUGUACGGAACGAAACGGCGAGCUCUAAUACAGUUUGCUAAUGACGGUACCGUAAGGAUAAGCACCGGCUAACUACGUG